rnacentral:rRNA from 1 species
CCUACGGGUCGCACCAGUAGGGAAUCUUCGGCAAUGGACGAAAGUCUGACCGAGCAACGCCGCGUGAGUGAAGAAGGUUUUCGGAUCGUAAAACUCUGUUGUUAGAGAAGAACAAGAAGGAGAGUAACUGCUCUUACCUUGACGGUAUCUAACCAGAAAGCCACGGCUAACUACGUGCCAGCAGCCGCGGUAAUACGUAGGUGGCAAGCGUUGUCCGGAUUUAUUGGGCGUAAAGCGAGCGCAGGCGGUCUUUUAAGUCUGAUGUGAAAGCCCUCGGCUCAACCGAGGAAGGUCAUUGGAAACUGGAGGACUUGAGUGCAGAAGAGGAGAGUGGAAUUCCAUGUGUAGCGGUGAAAUGCGUAGAUAUAUGGAGGAACACCAGUGGCGAAGGCGACUCUCUGGUCUGUAACUGACGCUGAGGCUCGAAAGCGUGGGGAGCAAACAGGAUUAGAUACCCGCGUAGUC